rnacentral:rRNA from 1 species
AGUAAUACAUCGGAACGUGUCUUCUAGUGGGGGAUAACUGCCCGAAAGGGCAGCUAAUACCGCAUGAGACCUGAGGGUGAAAGCGGGGAUCGCAAGACCUCGCGCUGGAAAGAGCGGCAGAUGUCCGAUUAGCUAGUUGUGAGGUAAAGGCUCACCAAGGCGACGAUCGGUAGCUGGUCUGAGAGGACGACCAGCCACACUGGGACUGAGACACGGCCCAG